rnacentral:rRNA from 1 species
AUUGAACGCUGGCGGCAUGCUUUACACAUGCAAGUCGAACGGCAGCGCGGGCUUCGGCCUGGCGGCGAGUGGCGAACGGGUGAGUAAUGCAUCGGAACGUGCCCAGUAGUGGGGGAUAGCCCGGCGAAAGCCGGAUUAAUACCGCAUACGACCUGAGGGUGAAAGCGGGGGACCGAAAGGCCUCGCGCUAUUGGAGCGGCCGAUGUCGGAUUAGCUAGUUGGUGGGGUAAAGGCUUACCAAGGCGACGAUCCGUAGCUGGUCUGAGAGGACGACCAGCCACACUGGGACUGAGACACGGCCCAGACUCCUACGGGAGGCAGCAGUGGGGAAUUUUGGACAAUGGGGGCAACCCUGAUCCAGCCAUGCCGCGUGCGGGAAGAAGGCCUUCGGGUUGUAAACCGCUUUUGUUCGGGAAGAAAUCCUCUGGGCUAAUACCCCGGAGGGAUGACGUACCGGAAGAAUAAGCACC